rnacentral:ncRNA from 1 species
GUUUGUAUUAAUAUUUUCACCCAUCCGGGUGAGAAUUAUUUAUUCUACACACAGCAGUGCAACACCUGUCAGUACUUCUGGUGCCU